rnacentral:lncRNA from 1 species
AGGUCUUCGAUCUUCAAGGAGCUCAUCUUUUUCUUGGAGUUCUCAUUUCAAAAGUCAAAAUCUUCAUUCCAGAAGCUCAUAUAUUGCAUGCGUGUAAGGAUAGAGAUUGAGAAAUUCGUCAAAAAUUAUGUGAGCAUCAAUGAUCUAGCAGUUAACUAGAAUCAAAGUAGACUUAUGGGUAGUACAAGUUGUGUUAUAAAGUACAAGCUCAUAUUUAUACUUUGUGUUGCUAGGAAG